UGACUGCGUACCUUUUGUAUAAUGGGUCAGCGACUUAUAUUCUGUAGCAAGGUUAACCGAAUAGGGGAGCCGGAGGGAAACCGAGUCUUAAUUGGGCGUUAAGUUGCAGGGUAUAGACCCGAAACCCGGUGAUCUAGCCAUGGGCAGGUUGAAGGUUGGGUAACACUAACUGGAGGACCGAACCGACUAAUGUUGAAAAAUUAGCGGAUGACCUGUGGCUGGGGGUGAAAGGCCAAUCAAACCGGGAGAUAGCUGGUUCUCCCCGAAAGCUAUUUAGGUAGCGCCUCGUGAAUUCAUCUCCGGGGGUAGAGCACUGUUUCGGCUAGGGGGCCAUCCCGGCUUACCAACCCGAUGCAAACUGCGAAUACCGGAGAAUGUUAUCACGGGAGACACACGGCGGGUGCUAACGUCCGUCGUGAAGAGGGAAACAACCCAGACCGCCAGCUAAGGUCCCAAAGUCAUGGUUAAGUGGGAAACGAUGUGGGAAGGCCCAGACAGCCAGGAUGUUGGCUUAGAAGCAGCCAUCAUUUAAAGAAAGCGUAAUAGCUCACUGGUCGAGUCGGCCUGCGCGGAAGAUGUAACGGGGCUAAACCAUGCACCGAAGCUGCGGCAGCGAA
rnacentral:rRNA from 1 species